rnacentral:rRNA from 1 species
UACGGAGGAUGCAAGCGUUAUCCGGAAUGAUUGGGCGUAAAGCGUCCGCAGGUGGCAAUGUAAGUCUGCUGUCAAAGCGUCUGGCUCAACCAGAUAAAGGCAGUGGAAACUACAUAGCUAGAGUAAGGUAGGGGUAGAGGGAAUUCCUGGUGUAGCGGUGAAAUGCGUAGAGAUCAGGAAGAACACCGGUGGCGAAAGCGCUCUGCUGGACCGACACUGACACUGAGAGACGAAAGCUAGGGGAGCGAAUGGG